AGUCGGACGGGCGCGGAGACGCUUCUGGAAGCUUGUAUUGGUUGGUGAUGGUGGUACUGGAAAAACGACCUUCGUGAAACGUCAUUUGACUGGUGAAUUUGAGAAGAAGUAUGUAGGUAUGUACUGGAAAACCUUGCUUAUGGAAAUAUGUGAGAAAUGACCCAGUGUGCCAUCAUAAUGUUUGAUGUAACAUCGAGAGUUACUUACAAGAAUGUGCCUAACUGGCAUAGAGAUCUGGUACGAGUGUGUGAAAACAUCCCCAUUGUGUUGUGUGGCAACAAAGUGGAUAUUAAGGACAGGAAAGUGAAGGCAAAAUCCAUUGUCUUCCACCGAAAGAAGAAUCUUCAGUACUACGACAUUUCUGCCAAAAGUAACUACAACUUUGAAAAGCCCUUCCUCUGGCUUGCUAGGAAGCUCAUUGGAGACCCUAACUUGGAAUUUGUUGCCAUGCCUGCUCUCGCCCCACCAGAAGUUGUCAUGGACCCAGCUUUGGCAGCACAGUAUGAGCACGACUUAGAGGUUGCUCAGACAACUGCUCUCCCGGAUGAGGAUGAUGACCUGU
rnacentral:sRNA from 1 species